rnacentral:tRNA from 1 species
GCCUGGAUAGCUCAGUUGGUUAGAGCAUGGUGCUGAUAACACCAAGGUUGCCGGUUCGAUUCCCAUACUGGGCA